rnacentral:tmRNA from 2 species
CUGGGUUUCGACGGGGAUAGUUGAGGCGAAAGAAGCGAGCCGCGGACUCCGGGACCGCGUCAACAACCUGGAGAAAAAAUAAGUGCAGACGACGCACAGUUAGCCUUAGCUGCGUAAGGAAGCAGCUAACGUCCACCCUGUAGUGCCCACGCUACAGGUGCUGGGCGCCGACUCAGUGGGGAACGAACCUGCCUUUGCUUCGGGGCAGGCCGGAUUUCAAUGAAGCUACCGACGCCGGGAUCCUGUCAGUGGGAGCCCGGUGAAGGGAAUGUCAAAACACUGACUGCGCUCGGAGAGGCUUUCGCCGAGGCAUCUUCGGACAGGGGUUCGAUUCA